GGACCGCCUCAGGGCGGUCCGGUGCACGCUCCGGUACCUGACACGGCCGGGGUUC
rnacentral:ncRNA from 1 species